UGGGGAAUCAUGGGCAAUGGGCGCAAGCCUGACCCUGCCAUGCCGCGUGUGUGAAGAAGGCCUUAGGGUUGUAAAGCACUUUCAGUGGUGAAGAAAAGCCAGGGGUUAACAGCUCCAGGUCUUGACGUUAACCACAGAAGAAGCACCGGCUAACUCCGUGCCAGCAGCCGCGGUAAUACGGAGGGUGCGAACGUUAAUCGGAAUUACUGGGCGUAAAGCGCGCGUAGGCGGUUCGGUAAGUGGGAUGUGAAAGCCCCGGGCUCAACCUGGGAAUUGCAUUCCAAACUGCCGGACUCGAGUAUGGUAGAGGGAGGUAGAAUUUCCUGUGUAGCGGUGAAAUGCGUAGAUAUAGGAAGGAAUACCGAUGGCGAAGGCAGCCUCCUGGACCAAUACUGACGCUGAGGUGCGAAAGCGUGGGGAGCAAACAGGAUUAGAUACCCCCGUAGUCC
rnacentral:rRNA from 1 species